rnacentral:rRNA from 1 species
CCUCGGGGGUCUGCAGUGGGGAAUAUUGGACAAUGGGCGAAAGCCUGAUCCAGCCAUGCCGCGUGUGUGAAGAAGGCCUUCGGGUUGUAAAGCACUUUCAGUGGGGAAGAAAGCCUUGGGGCUAAUACCCUCGAGGAAGGACAUCACCCACAGAAGAAGCACCGGCUAACUCCGUGCCAGCAGCCGCGGUAAUACGGAGGGUGCGAGCGUUAAUCGGAAUUACUGGGCGUAAAGCGCGCGUAGGCGGUCUGAUAAGCCGGUUGUGAAAGCCCCGGGCUCAACCUGGGAACGGCAUCCGGAACUGUCAGGCUAGAGUGCAGGAGAGGAAGGUAGAAUUCCCGGUGUAGCGGUGAAAUGCGUAGAGAUCGGGAGGAAUACCCGUGGCGAAGGCGGCCUUCUGGACUGACACUGACGCUGAGGUGCGAAAGCGUGGGUAGCAAACAGGAUUAGAUACCCUAGUAGUC